rnacentral:sRNA from 1 species
UGAGACCCUGUCUCAAAAAAAAAAAAAAAAAAAAAGAAGAAAAAAAAGAAACUGCCUCUCUCUGCCAUCCUCUUCCUAUCUGCAGCGAACCUCCACAUCAAAUUGCCUUAGGAUACUGGAUCUUGACUGUUCUGUGGUAUUGCCAUUUUAUCUUAAGUUGAACUAUUUAGAAACAAAAGCAUUUCCCGAGUUGAUUUUUUUUCCCUUACAUUUGAUUACAUACCCUUCUAAUUAUUCUCUACUUUGCAGUUCCAGCUUCUUUUUCCCUCUGUGAUGGUUGUAGUAGAACAAAUUAAAAGUCAAAAGAUUCAUGGUUGUCAAAUCCUGGAAACAGUCUACAAACACAGCUGUGGGGGGUUGCCUCCUGUUCGAAGUGCACUGGAAAAAAUCCUGGCCGUUUGUCAUGGGGUCAUGUAUAAACAGCUCUCAGCCUGGAUGCUCCAUGGACUCCUCUUGGACCAGCAUGAAGAAUUCUUUAUCAAACAGGGUCCAUCUUCUGGUAAUGUCAGUGCUCAGCCAGAAGAGGACGAGGAGGAUCUGGGCAUUGGGGGACUGACAGGAAAACAACUGAGAGAACUCCAGGACUUG